GGGAAACCGAGGCCACGCUAGGUCCGCAGCCCCGAGGUGUCCACAAGAGCUCCGCUCGCGCAAGGGCGCGGAGCGAGGCUGCCCGCGGGACCGGCCUGCGGAGCGAGCGGCCAACGAGUGGAUAAAGAAAAUGUGAUAUAUAUGCACUAUGGAAUACUAAGCCAUAAGAAGGAAUGAAAUAAUGGCAUUUGCAGCAACCUAGAUGGAGUUGGAGACCAUUAUUCUAAGUGAAGUAACUCAAGAAUGGAAAACCAAAUAUUGUAUGUUCUCACUCGUAAGUGGGAGCUAAGCUGCGAAGAUGCAAAGGCAUAAGAAUGAUAUAGUGGACUUUGAGGACUCAAGGGUUGAAGGAUGAGACUACACAUUGGGUACAGUGUGCACUGCUUGGGUGAUGAGUGCACCAAAAUCUCAGAACUCACCACUGAAGAACUUCCCCAUGUAACCAAAAACCACCUGUUCCACAGAAACUAUCGAAAUAACAUUUUUAAAACUUUACUAUUUCUGAAUAAAAUUUACAUACAUUUCUCAGAAAAAAAAAUAUUUGGAAUUGAGGUAUCUAAUAGAGAACUGAGUUAAAUUAUUGCCACUUAAAAACACAAAGUGAUAUAGCCACUUUAUGAAUUAAUCAGUCAGCAGUGGCUAGGUUAUGCUUAGUGGUUUAUAACCAAAUCUUAGUUUAUAACAACAAAUGUGUAUUGUUAAUUCCCACUACAAGUUUAUAACGACAUUGCUGGAUGCUACACUCCAUGUCUCUUUGUGGGACCCAGGCUCAUGGGACUUCUGUUACCUGCAUUAGAGAGAGAGAAGACAACAAAAUAUGCACUGGUUCUUGAAGCUUUGGCCCAGAAGUAAAAUAUGUCUUUUACCUGUUCACAUUGCAUUGGGCCAGGGCAAUUAUCAUGGCUGCAAGUAACUUCAAAAGGAUGGGGAAGUGCGAUCUUGGCAUGUGUCAGAAGAAAUGAAAACAUUUGGUGAAGAGCAUUAAUGACUGUCUUUACAGGAAAAAAGCAAUCAAAUAGACAUGAUUGCUUGUUUCAGUUUCAUCAUUUCCUACUGUGUUACCUAAACUUUCUGAGCCCCAGUUUCUUAUUACUAAAAUAAAAUAAAGAU
rnacentral:lncRNA from 1 species